CCUACGGGUGGCUGCAGUGGGGAAUAUUGCACAAUGGGGGAAACCCUGAUGCAGCGACGCCGCGUGAGUGAAGAAGUAAUUCGUUAUGUAAAGCUCUAUCAGCAGGGAAGAAAAUGACGGUACCUGAGUAAGAAGCCCCGGCUAACUACGUGCCAGCAGCCGCGGUAAUACGUAGGGGGCAAGCGUUAUCCGGAUUUACUGGGUGUAAAGGGAGCGUAGACGGCAGUGCAAGUCUGGAGUGAAAGGCGGGGGCUCAACCCCCGGACUGCUCUGGAAACUGUACGGCUGGAGUGCAGGAGAGGUAAGUGGAAUUCCUAGUGUAGCGGUGAAAUGCGUAGAUAUUAGGAGGAACACCAGUGGCGAAGGCGGGUUCCUGGACAUUAACUGACGCUGAGGCACGAAGGCCAGGGGAGCGAAAGGGAUUAGAUACCCUAGUAGUC
rnacentral:rRNA from 1 species